UUAAUUAAAACCAAAUAGAGGUAAAUUAUUGUUAAUAAUUUUAUUGAAAUAAUUUCUAAUUAAA
rnacentral:tRNA from 1 species